UUAAAGGUGAACCGUACUUUUGAUAUGACAGGUGACAUAGAGCUAAAAUGGCAAUUGAGAUCUCAAAAUGUACGCACUAUACCUACGUCGUAAUGUGACAUCUCCAUACUUUGACAGAGCAACGUAACUCAGAUGUCACGUUUCUUUAACAAGGAAAUGUACACUGAAAUUGAUUUGACUCAACACGCGCCGCGUUGCGUUUUGCGAGUAUGUCGCCGCCCUAACAGUUGUAUUAUACAGUACAAACUUAUUUAUAUAAGAAUUAUUUACAAAGCGUACCUCAGUAUAGUCAGUAUUGCGUGAGGUAUUGAAACUUUGCCACUCAUUUUUUUAUUUUAUUUUACACAUUAAAAACCAACCAAUUUAUUACAUAAUAUCCUUAUUAUUACAUGAGUAAUUUGCUGUUUGAACACUUGAGGCCUCACGUUGAAUUUUAUUAAGAAAUUGUAAAAAAAGUCAUAAUAAUGUACAAUGUUUUUUUUUUUUUUUGAUGAAUGAUGUACAAAAGAAUACAUACUAAAGGUGAUCUAUAUAAUGUCAUUAUACAAUUUAGGAUCGAUUUUAAAAGUGAUAUUUAUGAAAACGGAUAAAACAAAACAAAUGGACCUUAAAAUCUUAAAAUAGGAGGAACAUAAUUUAUUUUCAUAAGUGGCCACAAUAAAUCUGGUCGCAAACAACGAGAUGAGCCAAAAGCAAAGAAAGCAUUUUUCAAUGCUGGUAAGGUGUGUUACUAUCCCGUCCAAAUGAUAAAAUACACUUUUGGAUGUCUAUUUAGUUUUCUUACAAGAGCCAGUUAAUGUAACAAAGUCCAAAAUCCAUUAGUGAUUUAAAAAAAGUAAAGAACAUUUCGAUUAAAAAAAAUAGUUUUUCGAAUAGGAACGCAGUUUCUUUAAUCUUCAUAAUGAAUAAUAGAUAUUGGAUACAUUAAACUGGUAGGCUUUUGUAAGAAAAGACACCAUGUAUAAAAUUGACCUUGACAGCUCCUGCUAACUUAAUUCCUAACUUCAUUUCUUCUUUUGUAAGUGAAGGUGGAGCAUUAAGAGUUGUUUGCCUCUUGCUACAACCGCAUGUGAUUGGCUGAAUUUAUAGUAUUCUUAUGCAACAAUGCAUUUUAGCGAAUAGUGAUACAGUAUCAGCCAAUCAGAGUUAUUGCGAUCGUAACAGCAUCACUAUAGCUAUCAAACUAUGGCGGUAGGUCUCCGUGUCAGCAUUUAGACGGCAUAAUAAUCAUGUUGCAUUUAUUUAAUGAUUUGCAAUUUCAAAGUCAGUUUUAUAAAAUGAAAUAGCAACACAAUUCAAGCGUACCACCAAAAACAAAUUUGAAUUAGGUAAGCGACAAGGUUUUCUUUAUUAAUAAUGUAGUUUUCAUAAUGAUUUACACAGUUAAAAGAUGCUAAGCGUAUUUUCUUGAAAAAAAAAAAAACUAAAUUGCAUGUUGUUCAAUUUAGCUUUUAAGCGAAAAUGGACUUUUCUAACGACUAACUACAACACUUUUUGUUGAUAUUUUUAAUUCUUUUAAUAAAAUGAUGAUUUCAAGUAUUCUGUCUUUUCAUUUAUUAAUUUUAAUUAGUGUCAUAAAAACACGUUAGUAAAGGUUUCGCAAAAUUUCUAGAGUGCUGUGAACUCAAGGCAUUAUAUGUAUGUAUACUCAGUUGUCUACCUUUACUGUACCUACUCCUAGUACGAGUUUAUACAUUAAUUAAUUAUUUCCGAAAAUAGAAAUUCGAUGUCGAGUUCCUCUAACAUCUAGAGCAAGCGCUCUUUGCAUAUAUUUGUUAAAUAAAAAUCGUUUGUACAGAAUGUACGAAAUAAAAACAAGUUUUUUUUUAAAUCAUGAUAUUAUUAUUACUUAUAAUAAAUAGAAAUUCAUGAAAACAGUUUUGACAUUUAGACACCACCUAAAUUCGUGCUAGGGGUCCAGAAACCCUCACAGCCUCUAGAACUUUAGCAUAACCUGUGCCACUUAUAAUUUGAUGUAACCUGUUAAGUAAUUAAAACAUAAUUUUUUAAUUAAAAAGACAAAAAAUCUUUGGCCAAUUGACGAAAGAAUUCUAUUCAAAUAUUAUUUAGGAUCACAAAGGGAAAUCAGCUGCAGUAAAAAUAAUGUUACGAAAAUUAAAAUACACAAUUUAAAAUACUUGCACCAAUCACAACAGAGCCUUAACAACUUUUAAAAAUUGAAUCUCGUCUAUGAAUUCUGUACAAUCUCAUCACAAAUAUCAUAAACUUCCGAAACGUUUGGAAUACACUGGUCAAUUUUGUCUUUGUGACAUUCUCUGAUAUGACAAGUCACAACACCCAAAUCCAACAUAGGUUGAAAUCAAUUGGCGCACACUUUGACUUUGCUAAGACUUAAGUUUCAAUUAAAACGAGACAGAUGUAUGCCAGCAGUAUAACGCUGUCUCGUUUUAACAAUGUCUUAAGCCUGGGCAAAGUCUAAGUGCGCUCUAUAGAUCUCAGCCUGAGUGUUAGCAGUUAGCACGCACUACGGUUAACCGUGUGUGGAUAAGAUUUUGAUUCAAACAAUAUUAAUAUGCGAGAACUCACUUGAGGUUUUUUGCCACGUUUGACUUAAAACGCCACUUACGAGUCAAUACAGUGUUUUUUUUAACUGGGACAGUUUGGGGAAAUCCAAAACCAUAGAAGAUACAGGGAAACUGUCUUGGGAACCGUUAAGUCCCAAGACAGUUUCUACAACCGGCAGGUUUUUGUGUAAACAAUUUCGAUAUAGUAAUUUUUUUGGUCAAACGUGAGUUUCUGAAACUGAGAUCCUUAUAUAAAAGUGAGUCGAUCAGCAUUAAAAAAAAUUGACAAUUGUAUUGAUUUUAAUGGAAAACUCACGCUUAGCCAAAAAUUGACUAUGCCAAAAUAGUUUUAGUUGUAGUUCGAGUGUAGGAGUGAGAGAGAACGAUUAACGCUGCCACUUUCGAUUCGUUUAUUGUAACAAAUUAUACAACUUUCUUAGAAAUUAACUGUUUUUUAAACAAAAUAAGUAUGCCCUUGACCGCAGUCACCCCAAAUAGGUGAUGAUGCAGCCUAAGGUGCAGCGCGCCUGCCUAAAAGGUACCUACUCACUCUUCUUCUGGAGUUAUCAAAGCCACCCGCGGCAAAAAACCGUAGUUAAUCCCGCCUAAGUUAGUAAAAAGUCAUUUAUCGUGUUAAUAUCAAAUUCACAACUUCGGACCAGCAAUUCGCGGCUUCGAAACUCAAGUGUCAUUUUUUUUUUCAAAAACAUACUACAUUUCUAUCAACGAUCGAUAGUAGUGACCGGCAAACAACUUGAAAAAAAAACACGAAAAGAAAGAGAGAAAAAAACAAGAGUCGACUGAGCAACCAAUCGCGUGCUACCGUGCGGUAGAAAUUCCCACGCGUUUCCUACAGUCCGCCAAAGAGACCUAAAAUUUACUAUAAUUUUUCCAAACUUAGAAUGGGAUGUACUUUCCGCCAUGUUGUGAUGUCUUAGCUGGAAAUAUUAUGUUUAGAUCAAAAUAUUAUUUGGUUGUGAAAUAUUUUCACUUGGAUUUCAAAGUAAGACAACUAUACAGAGUGGGGUAUCAUAUGAAAGUAAUUCUUACAGUUUUACUUUGUCUCAAUAGAAUAGAAUAGAUUUUUAGUCAAAUAGACUUUUACAAGUGCUUUUGAAUCGUCAAAUAAUUAAUUUGCCACUGGUUCGGAAUGCCGUUCCUUCUGUAGUACGGAACCCACGGUGCGCGAGUCUGACUCGCACUUGGUUAGUUUUUUUUAAACUAACAGCAUAACUAUUGUUACUAACAUUAUUCACGGUACCCGCACGCGGUGGCUUACCAUUAGACUUAAGAUUUUAUGUCUCACUCAACAUUAAAGAAUUCGAGCAUCGAAACAAUUCA